ACAUACACGCAUACCUGCCUCCGCCAGCUCACGAGCGCCACCAGUGCACGUCUACAGCGGUGAAGGCUCGCAGUCGGCGGUCCACGCAGAUGCCCGUCGAUCGGCCUAUGCCUUCAUACGUCCUCUCCUCCCUCCUCUUGCUCAGCCAGUUCGCGAGCCGCUGCUUUUGUGGCUCCAACGCGUCCGCUCUACCAUGCGCAGGUCAGUAAGUGCGCACAUGCACAACCACAGCUCACCGAUCUCUGUUGCACUGCGGCGAUGUCGCCGAACCAGGCCAAGCAACAUCGUUUGGCGCCAUCCAGUCCACUGCAACGCCAGCUCAUACAGCGCAGGCUCGCUCCAGGAUUAGGCUCGUCACCGCCUUCCAACCUCAACGGCCCAGUUUCUUCUCAUGGCUCCACCCGCCUCUCUCUUCAUGAACGCAACCCCUUUCGCAGGCGCCUGCACUUGUACCUUUCUGUAUAUCUUUGGGCUUGCUUGCGCAUCUGCUUCUCUGCUCUGUCUUUCUGUGGGUGUGUGUGUGUGUGUGUGUGUGUCUGCCGCUGAUGCUCUCCGCACACCACCACCACCCACCCCCUCCUCUAUCGCUCGCUCGCUCGCUCAAGGCUGGCGCCAUCACGACUGAGGCAUAAUGCGCUAGCCAAGCGCUGCACGGGUCGGCAGGGCUGCGCAUCGUUUGGGCGCAUCGAACUGCUGAGCGAGUCUUCCCUCACCGCGUUGUCUAUCUUUGAGCGGAGCGGACCGCCACCGUUCCGUCCAUUCUCCCUCCCCCCCCCCCAGCACUAGAGGAGGCUGUCGAGCGGUGGUACCUCUUGGACAGCGGCUUGCCAUGGAUUGCCCACUGGACGGGCCUUCUCCAUCUCCCCGCGGCUUUUGUUCUGUGCGCAGCUCACCCUCCCACCCUUGCUGUACCUCUCUCUCUCUGUCUCUGUCUGUCUCCGCCCCACCGAACCCCGACAG
rnacentral:misc_RNA from 1 species